AGUCGAGCGGUACAGAAAGUAGCUUGCUACUUUGCUGACGAGCGGCGCACGGGUGAGUAAUGCUUGGGAACAUGCCUUGAGGUGGGGGACAACAGUUGGAAACGACUGCUAAUACCGCAUAAUGUCUACGGACCAAAGGGGGCUUCGGCUCUCGCCUUUAGAUUGGCCCAAGUGGGAUUAGCUAGUUGGUGAGGUAAUGGCUCACCAAGGCAACGAUCCCUAGCUGGUUUGAGAGGAUGAUCAGCCACACUGGAACUGAGACACGGUCCAGACUCCUACGGGAGGCAGCAGUGGGGAAUAUUGCACAAUGGGCGAAAGCCUGAUGCAGCCAUGCCGCGUGUGUGAAGAAGGCCUUCGGGUUGUAAAGCACUUUCAGUCAGGAGGAAAGGGUGUGAGUUAAUACCUCAUAUCUGUGACGUUACUGACAGAAGAAGCACCGGCUAACUCCGUGCCAGCAGCCGCGGUAAUACGGAGGGUGCGAGCGUUAAUCGGAAUUACUGGGCGUAAAGCGUACGCGGGCGGUUUGUUAAGCGAGAUGUGAAAGCCCCGGGCUCAACCUGGGAACUGCAUUUCGAACUGGCAAACUAGAGAGUGAUAGAGGGUGGUAGAAUUUCAGGUGUAGCGGUGAAAUGCGUAGAGAUCUGAAGGAAUACCGAUGGCGAAGGCAGCCACCUGGGUCAACACUGACGCUCAUGUACGAAAGCGUGGGGAGCAAACGGGAUUAGAUACCCCGGUAGUCCACGCCGUAAACGAUGUCUACUAAAAGCUCGGAACCUCGGUUCUGUUUUUCAAAGCUAACGCAUUAAGUAGACCGCCUGGGGAGUACG
rnacentral:rRNA from 1 species